GGUCGAAUCGUAUAGCGGUUAGUACACACGCUUCACACUGCAUUUAAGAAGUGCGCGUGAGAUCCGGGUUCGAUUCCCGGUUCGACUA